AAGAAAUCUUAUUCCCCUAAAUACUAUUAGGCCAACCCAUGCCCACAUGGAAGAGACUAUGCUAAAAUGAGUAACAAGAAGGCUCGCCCUUCUCCAAGCACAAGUGUAAGCCAAAACGGACCAACCAUUGGCAACUAACGAACUCAACCCAAGAGAGCAAUGUGAACUACAAGUAUAAACAAGAAGAACCCACAACUAAGCCAUCGUUACCCCCACACUGGAGUGCCAUCAGAGGAAAGACUAAAAGAAAGGGAAGGAACUCGGCAAACACAAGCCUCGCCUGUUUACCAAAAACAUCGCCUCCUGCAACGCAGCCAAGUAUAGGAGGUCCAGCCUGCCCAGUGACUACAAGUUCAACGGCCGCGGUAUUUUGACCGUGCAAAGGUAGCGCAAUCACUUGUCUUUUAAAUAGAGACCUGUAUGAAUGGCUAAACGAGGGCUUAACUGUCUCCCCUUUCAAGUCAGUGAAAUUGAUCUACCCGUGCAGAAGCGGGUAUAAUUAUACAAGACGAGAAGACCCUUUGGAGCUUAAGGUACAAAACUCAACCACGUUAAGCAACUCAAUAAAAAGCAAAAACUUUAUGGAAUAUGAUAUUUUACCUUCGGUUGGGGCGACCACGGAAGAAAAAAAAUCCUCCGAGUGGACCGGGACAAACCUCCUAAAACCAAGAGACACACCUCUAAGCCACAGAACAUCUGACCAAACAUGAUCCGGCCAUAAAAGCCGAUCAACGAACCAAGUUACCCUAGGGAUAACAGCGCAAUCCUCUCCCAGAGUCCAUAUCGACGAGGGGGUUUACGACCUCGAUGUUGGAUCAGGACAUCCUAAUGGUGCAGCCGCUAUUAAGGGUUCGUUUGUUCAACGAUUAAAGUCCUACGUGAUCUGAGUUCAGACCGG
rnacentral:rRNA from 1 species